rnacentral:lncRNA from 1 species
UCGUAUCGGGCCAGGUCAAUUGAGCCCACCACCCAGGCUCACGACAGGCAGAAGAGAAAAAAAGGGGCACCCGUGAACCAGCCGAUUCCCCAUUCUCUCCACCGCGUCGUCGCCUCCGACGGCGCCGCCGUUCCCCUUUCAUCUCGACCUCGGGCAAGUAGCUGGCAUCGCUCGCCGUCGUCGCUUCCAGGCGAGGCCAUCGGCGGCCGCCGUCGCUUCUUCCUAGAGACCGCCGCCGUCUCCCCACACCCGCGCGGCACCCCGUCUUGCCCUCUCCCUCUAGGGUUUUCUUGGGCGUCGAAUCGCUAAAAGCUUCAAUUAAAGAUGGCUUAUAUGUAACAACAUGAGCAGUUUGCCAGCAUCAGAUCGGCUUUGCAUCCUUUCUUCUUGAGUUCCGGCGUCACAUCGUGUUUGCAUUCUUAAACAUUUCAUCUCGAUUAUUUGUUUUUCUUCACCCAUUAUAUUUGCUCAUAGUUUAUCGCUUUCCUUUCAU